UGAUAUUGUCAAGGCGGCUUAGGUGGAAAACUAUUAGAAUUUCGAAUGCUGAUUAUUUGUUGCCAUGAUUAAGAUUAUAAUUAUUUUUUUGGCCUAAAUUUACCAACAAGGGAAACAAGUGAUUUUGUUUCAGCAUAUAGAUGCUUGCCCCUUUUUUUAUCCAUAUAAUUGGAGUGAUAUUAUUUGCUUUGGGUGCUUUAAGCAAAAUGUGAUCCUUACGAAAUGAUGUGAAGCAGAUAACCUAUGCCCACAAUGAAUUAGUGUCUUUUGAGUUAUGCCAUCGUUUUGUAAAGUAAAGUUAUUCUUCUAUUAUACAACCCUCAUCAUCAUCAGAGCUUUGGGUGCUUUACUGGGUCUUAUUGGACAUCCAAGGAUCUUAUGUAUUCUGGUUUUGAGGAUGGUAGUCAUACAUUUGAGGUAAAUUAGCUUAACUUCUUAGUUCGGAAAAGCAGUCUUUGUUGAGUUCAGCUUCUAUAAAAGUCUUAUUGCUUUACAUCAUCAAUUGAAAAUACCUCGGUUUCUCAAACAAUUGGGUUGUUGAUUGGAGUGGAAGAAAUUUCCUCAGAAAAGCAGGCAGAAUACCUGGCAGCACUGCUUAAACCACUUUAUGGACAAAGUAAGAAAGCUGUGUUAGUUUUUUCUUGAAUUUCCAUCUUUGUGGCAACUUACCUAAGUGAAUUAAAUGAGCUAUGUGGUAAUUACUUGUUUCGAUGUUGAGAUGCUACUCAUAGAUGCAAAGGCUCAAGGGCUCGAGGAAAGUUCACCUAAAGUUAUGAGCUCAUAACAGAUUAUUGCAACUUUAAAUGCACUUAGCAAGGUCAGUUUCUAUCUACUGUAAAAUACAUCUUAUCAUGAGUUUACUCUACAAAAUGUUCUAAAUUUGUUCCUUAGAGAUGGAAUUCUCUCAUGUAUACUGCGCCGGUGUAGAUGAUGUUAGUAUUUGAUUGCUGGCUGAAGAAUUUGACUCUAUCUGAUAAAUAGUUUUGUUCUUAUUCCUCCCCAUUUAUAUUCCACCAUCUCAUAAAGUAGUACAAACAAAUUAAUACUUACCAUUGCCAGCUUAUGGUCUAGGGCUUCAGUGAGCGGACAGUGACAGCUAGUCGGCCUUCAAUUGGUUUGAUGUUCAAGCAUGCAAGUGACUGUGUUUUUUUUAUGAAUGUUCACUUAAUUUAGUACUUUUCAUUCCCCAAUUGCGAGCUAUUUUUUCUUUUUUCCUAUUUAAUUCAAAAUUUAGGCUUGCAAUAUUUAUGGGUGCAAUGUUGCUCCUUUUUAUUUCUGGAUGGUUCAACACCCAGAACUUUUUUCUCAAAAAGAAAGAGUAGAUGUUUCUAAAAUUUUAUUUUUGAAUUCUCAGACUUUGGAUAUUCUCCUACAAAGACUUGUCACAUUUCUAAAUAUCAAACCUUUGCAUAAUAAGGUUACGUCAUAUCUUCAUCGCAUGGUUGAAAUAUUAGGAACAAGGGUACGUAUUGCCCCAUCUCCCAAUGGCAUUAAACCAAUUGCUUGUGGAUAGUGAGGUAUGAUUUCAUCCAUCCCAGUUACUUUUUUCUUUCUAUUUUAAGAAUGGUAGGAUUCACUUCUUGGAGUACUCUUCAUACUUAAGUAGCUUGCUGCUAAAAAAAUUUAUGCUUGAUUUGAUAUUGUCAAGGCGGCUUAGGUGGAAAACUAUUAGAAUUUCGAAUGCUGAUUAUUUGUUGCCAUGAUUAAGAUUAUAAUUAUUUUUUUGGCUAAAUUUACCAACAAGGGAAACAAAGUGAUUUUGUUUCAGCAUAUA